AUUGAACGCUGGCGGCAGGCCUAACACAUGCAAGUCGAACGGUAACAGGAAGCAGCUUGCUGCUUCGCUGACGAGUGGCGGACGGGUGAGUAAUGUCUGGGAAGCUGCCUGAUGGAGGGGGAUAACUACUGGAAACGGUAGCUAAUACCGCAUAAUGUCGCAAGACCAAAGAGGGGGACCUUCGGGCCUCUUGCCAUCGGAUGUGCCCAGAUGGGAUUAGCUUGUUGGUGGGGUGACGGCUCACCAAGGCGACGAUCCCUAGCUGGUCUGAGAGGAUGACCAGCCACACGGGAACUGAGACACGGUCCAGACUCCUACGGGAGGCAGCAGUGGGGAGUAUUGCACAAAGGGCGCAAGCCUGAUGCAGCCAAGCCGCGUGUAUGAAGAAGGCCUUCGGGUUGUAAAGUACUUUCAGCGGGGAGGAAGGGAGGAAAGUUAAUACCUUUGCUCAUUGACGUUACCCGCAGAAGAAGCACCGGCUAACUCCGUG
rnacentral:rRNA from 1 species